UACGUAGGGUGCGAGCGUUGUCCGGAAUUAUUGGGCGUAAAGAGCUUGUAGGCGGUCUGUCGCGUCUGCUGUGAAAAUCCGGGGCUCAACCCCGGACUUGCAGUGGGUACGGGCAGACUAGAGUGUGGUGGGGGGAGACUGGAAUUCCUGGUGUAGCGGUGAAAUGCGCAGAUAUCAGGAGGAACACCGGUGGCGAAGGCGGAUCUCUGGGCCUUGCCUGACGCUGAGGCGCGAAAGCUAGGGGAGCGAACAGG
rnacentral:rRNA from 1 species